rnacentral:rRNA from 1 species
AGCUCCAAUAGCGUAUAUUAAAGUUGUUGUGGUUAAAAAGCUCGUAGUUGGAUCUCGGCGGUCUGAGGGCGGUUCGCUUGAUUGAGUGCUACUGCUCUAUAGGCCGUGGUUUUGCCAGAGGUCUCGGGGUGCUCUUAACCGAGUGUCCUGCGAUGCUGGCAGGUUUACUUUGAAAAAAUUAGAGUGCUUAAAGCAAGCUUACUGCUUGAAUAGUUGCGCAUGGAAUAAUAGAAUAGGAAGUCGUUUCUAUUUUGUUGGUUUUCGGAAAUCGACUUAAUGAUUAAUAGGGAUAGUCGGGAGCAUUCGUAUUCAAACGACAGAGGUGAAAUUCUUGGACCGUUUGAAGACGAACUAAUGCGAAAGCAUUUGCCAAGAAUGUUUUCA